rnacentral:rRNA from 1 species
CAGUAGCCACGGUAAUACAGAGGGUGCGAGCGUUAAUCGGAUUUACUGGGCGUAAAGCGUGCGUAGGCGGCUUCUUAAGUCGGAUGUGAAAUCCCUGAGCUUAACUUAGGAAUUGCAUUCGAUACUGGGAAACUAGAGUAUGGGAGAGGAUGGUAGAAUUCCAGGUGUAGCGGUGAAAUGCGUAGAGAUCUGGAGGAAUACCGAUGGCGAAGGCAGCUAUCUGGCCUAAUACUGACGCUGAGGUACGAAAGCAUGGGGAGCAAACAGGAUUAGAUACCCGUGUAGUCCCUGUCUCUUAUAC